AUUUUUAAGUUGAUUGUUUGUAUCUAAAGUUGUGUGUUAUGAUGAUUGUUGUAUAACUUAAGAAAUUGUUCUAUGUUUCGCUCACUGAGUAUUCUUUACUCACCCCCUUUUUCUCCUUCUUUCCCAGAUGAAAAUGAUGUUGAAUAGCUGCUCAAGUUUGUCUCUCUUCAUGGUGUUCUUUGGGAUUUGAGUUUACUUUUCAAUAAAACAAAGACAUGGUUUUCCUUUAAAUUUCUUCAGUUAUUUUUACGAGUUUUCAAUGUUGCUUAAGACAAGUAACUUUUAUGAAUUU
rnacentral:sRNA from 1 species